rnacentral:rRNA from 1 species
UGUUUGAUGUUCUAACGUGGACCCGUGAUCCGGGUUGCGGACAGUGUCUGGUGGGUAGUUUGACUGGGGCGGUCUCCUCCUAAAGAGUAACGGAGGAGCACGAAGGUUGGCUAAUCCUGGUCGGACAUCAGGAGGUUAGUGCAAUGGCAUAAGCCAGCUUGACUGCGAGCGUGACGGCGCGAGCAGGUGCGAAAGCAGGUCAUAGUGAUCCGGUGGUUCUGAAUGGAAGGGCCAUCGCUCAACGGAUAAAAGGUACUCCGGGGAUAACAGGCUGAUACCGCCCAAGAGUUCAUAUCGACGGCGGUGUUUGGCACCUCGAUGUCGGCUCAUCACAUCCUGGGGCUGAAGUAGGUCCCAAGGGUAUGGCUGUUCGCCAUUUAAAGUGGUACGCGAGCUGGGUUUAGAACGUCGUGAGACAGUUCGGUCCCUA